rnacentral:rRNA from 1 species
GGACGGGUGAGUAAUACUUAGGAAUCUACCUAGUAGUGGGGGAUAGCUCGGGGAAACUCGAAUUAAUACCGCAUACGACCUACGGGAGAAAGGGGGCAGUUUACUGCUCUCGCUAUUAGAUGAGCCUAAGUCGGAUUAGCUAGAUGGUGGGGUAAAGGCCUACCAUGGCGACGAUCUGUAGCUGGUCUGAGAGGAUGAUCAGCCACACCGGGACUGAGACACGGCCCGGACUCCUACGGGAGGCAGCAGUGGGGAAUAUUGGACAAUGGGGGAAACCCUGAUCCAGCCAUGCCGCGUGUGUGAAGAAGGCCUUUUGGUUGUAAAGCACUUUAAGCAGUGAAGAAGACUCCUCGGUUAAUACCCGUGGACGAUGACAUUAGCUGCAGAAUAAGCACCGGCUAACUCUGUGCCAGCAGCCGCGGUAAUACUGAGGGUGCAAGCGUUAAUCGGAAUUACUGGGCGUAAAGCGAGCGUAGGUGGCUUGAUAAGUCAGAUGUGAAAUCCCCGGGCUUAACCUGGGAACUGCAUCUGAAACUGUUAGGCUAGAGUAGGUGAGAGGAAGGUAGAAUUCCAGGUGUAGCGGUGAAAUGCGUAGAGAUCUGGAGGAAUACCGAUGGCGAAGGCAGCCUUCUGGCAUCAUACUGACACUGAGGCUCGAAAGCGUGGGUAGCAAACAGGAUUAGAUACCCUGUUAGUCCACGCCGUAAACGAUGUCUACUAGUCGUUGGGUCCCUUGAGGACUUAGUGACGCAGCUAACGCAAUAAGUAGACCGCCUGGGGAGUACGGCCGCAAGGUUAAAACUCAAUGAAUUUGACGGGGGCCCGCACAAGCGGUGGACCAUGUGGUUUAUUUCGAUGCACGCAAGACCCUUACCUGGUCUUGACAU